rnacentral:sRNA from 1 species
CGCACGGUGUUUCGUUCCAAGCGUGCAGA